rnacentral:lncRNA from 1 species
AAAAUUGAUAUUGUAUAUUUUUUGUAUUAUCGUACAUAGCUAAAGAUGACGUUGGGUUAUUGAAAGUGUAAUACCCAAAUUUUCCCGGCCCAAAAACAAAUAAAAUAAAUCAAAUAUAAAAACCAAAUAAAAAAUAAAAAAUUAAAUAAAUGUCCAUUGUCCAUUUACAAUAAAAUAGACCCUAAGCCCAAAUAUCAAAAUCCAUACCCAUUACACCAAAUAAAAUAUACCCAUUACACCAAAUAAAAUAACAGCCCAAUAGAUUUAAAAUUACAUUAGAC